rnacentral:lncRNA from 1 species
GUUAAGAACAAGGUAAAUCUUUACAUCCCAGUCUCACUGUGAUUACAGCUUCUAAGACAGCAAUUAGCCAUCCUUCCCUGCGUCCCAUCUGGGAGAGAGAAAUAACAUGUUACCUUCUGGAAUGAAGCCUCCCUUACAUGUUUUAACCUCUCUAGGAAAGUUCAUGCUGGGAUAUUUACAGCCUUUGAGUCACUGCAAUAACUUUUCCUUUGAAAUCUUCAAAUUAAAGGAAAGAGAUUGAUAUUUCAUGCCCUUUAGCUCUAAACAGUGGAUUUAGAAAAUGGGUUCCAGUAAAGUUGCCUUAUAGAAAGAAUUUUACAGUAUUUGCUAUUUUUGCUAUAUUCUAUUAUGAUUAUCCUAAUUUGAUAUGUUUGACUUGCAGUGGUCCACAGGGAGCCAUACAAGGAGACAGCACCCAGCUGGGCUCAUUGGCACUCUCAGGGCCCUGCAUGUGUAGAUAAACAAAGAUGAGUGCAGUACGUCUGAGAACAAGUCAAAUAAAGAAAGAAGCAGCUGCAGUCCCAAUACAACCAGUUAUGCACAAAUCAGCCCAGAUCCGGCGUGCUGUGUUCCCACCUCCCGAAGGCCUGAAUGACCAGGUUCAGGUAAUGUUUUCGCCAUGGAAUAGUUUUUGAUUCCCCCCACCCCUUACUUUUGCACAAGGCUUUGGAAACUGGGGUGCCCCCCAGCACCUGCAAGGCCUGAGCGCUCCCCUCCGGCUGGGAGGACGGCGGCGGCAGCGCUGGCUGGCACCACCAGGUCCACCCUCCCUCUCUGGAGGUGACCGGUCCUGUGAGUGGUCCCUUACUCUUAAAUAACCUUCCCAGAGAUGUUAAGAAUACACAUAGAGAAUUGGGCACUAUUAGACAAAGCGGAAAGACUUAAUGCUGCCUUAAAAAUCUCAAGGCCUGCUGCAGCAGUGGGGUGACGCUGCAAACCACUGCUGCGCAGAAGGCGAGGACGAGGGCUUUACAAUGGCCUCCUGGUGCUUUGAACUCAGCAGCGCUCCCCAGGUGCCAGCACGACAGCAAGGAGGCCUAAACUUCACAAG